UUCCCAGAAAAGUAGCUCACACGAAGGGGCUCUGUGUCUCCCUAUAAGACCAAUGUUCUUCUCGUGGGAUAAGGGAGAAUCCAGGCUGGCCAGGCCCAGAUUGUUACAAAUCCCAGUAGCUGGGCCGCCUGCUCAGAAGAGAGUCGGAAAGACAACUGGUUGCAAUGGGCCUGGGAGUUUCUGCUGAGCAAGCAAGGCCCAGGCCCUACAGUGACCAAGAGUAUGGUGAAAGUGUUGACCUUAAAGAGACAGCCAGUUAUUUCUCCAGCAAAAAUCGGUUUAUUCAAGAUCAACAAAGAAUCGCGAUUCAGUAUCUGCAACCUUGGCAAGUCACGUGCAAGUUCCUAGCAGCAAGAGAAGGAGAAACUCUUUUAUAGAGGGGAAGAGGAAGUCGGCAGGGCUACUGUAAAGAAAGAGUCCAUUGAGGAAUUGACAGUUUGAAGUGUAGUGACUUUUCAUUGGCUAAAUUGUGACAGCAUCUCAUUGGCUAAGCUCUUGCCAGCCAGAAGAGGAAGUCUUUCUUCUUCCUGUGGGGCUCUGCCCUGUGGUAGAGCUUGAGAGCCCCGAACUCCGUUUUAAAUGAGGUUUCUGUUUAUUACUUUUAACAGAGGUGAUGGUAAGUGACCUCUGAGGCCAGAUCGUAAAAAGUAUUGUGGCUUCCACCUUGGUCUCUUGGGUUGCUUGUUCUUGGGGAAUCCAGCUGCCACAGAGAACGUUCAAACAACCCUGCGGAAGAACGGAGGACUCCCACCAAGCGAAGGGAUCUUCUGCCCGCAGUCAAGCCUCCAGCGGCUCUCCCCUCAUGAGUAGUCCCCAGCAGGAUCGCUCAGCCAAGAUGCUCCUAAACUCCUGGCUCGCAAAAACUGUGGGCAAUACUCUUGACCUUUGUAGAAGAGAGCAACCUCCUCUUGUCUGGAGACAUUUGAAAGAUCACACCUGAGCAGGUUCCUCUCAAGGUUAUGGUUUUCUUCUUCAAGAUCUGACAUGACUUCCCUCAUUGCCUUCAGACCCAUAACUAUGGUGGAGAAAUAGCCUUUGAAGAACUGUGUGAUUUGUUCCAGUUUGCAAGAUGAAGAAACUGAGACUGAGAUAGAUCAAAGAACUUGCCCAGUAAGCGGCGAAUUUGAAUCUAGACGCCUGAGUAAAGAGCCUGAAGUCUUAAUCAUCACGCUCUGCUCUCCUUAUGUUUUUAAGUGAGAAGACAGAGCAUGAUGACUCAGCUUAGAUGUCUUCCCUCCUACUGAGAAACCCAGGCCCCAAUCCUACACAGCUGGCGUCGCUUAACUGAACUCACUAGCUAACCUUCUAGUCCCGUCAGGCAGAACGCUCAAGCAGUUAGGUGAAAAGACGGUUAAUGACUGACUAAUGCUAACGCAAGUCAGAAUACAUAAACUCAGCAAAGGUAGGCAAAAUGCUAUGGGAUGGGGCAAUGGAGAUUUACUGUUUCAUGGGUACAGAGUGUCAGUUUGGGGUGAUGAAAGAGUUUUGAAGAUGGAUAGGUGGUUGCACAAUAAUGUGAAUGUACUUACUGCCACUGAACUGUCCGCUUAAAAGGAUUUGAAACGGUAAAUUUUAUGUUGUCUGUUUUAGCACAAUAAAAAAUGCUUUAGGAUGCCCAUAAUAGUUGUAUAUUUUCUGAAUCCUUUGGGGUCAUAAUGAGGAUUACAAAUAUAACAUUUUGGGUUUUCUAAGCUUUCUUAAGGAGGGCGACUUUAUGGGCUGACCAGCAGCUUCUGAUAUGACUCAGCACAAAAAGAUGGAAUGGGACUCUGUCUCUCUCAAUCUCUCUCUCCCCCACCUCCCUUCUGAUUAGGAAACAGGAAGAGAAGAUUUUUAGCAUAGCAGAAGUGGACAUGACAGGAAGCCCACAGAGCUGCCAUGAUGUAGGGCAACAAGGGAAAAGACAAGAGUACAGGCCUUGAGGAGUCAGAACAAGCCCUUGUUAUUAUCAUAAAAUGGAAACUAGCAGCAAGCAGACGCUUUAAGUAGAGGAGCAAAUAGGUG
rnacentral:lncRNA from 1 species